ensembl:snoRNA
GCUGCCCCCAGAGGCGUUGCAGGUGUGGCUGUCGCCGUGUCCCAUCUGUGUCAUCGGUGGCAGAGAGGAGCGGGGCUUGUCUACGUGGCGUCCCAGGUGGGGCGUCGCCGUGGUUCGCGGCCCGACAGC